CUGUAGGCUUUCCAGGUGAUUUGUUUCUGGGAUUGUACAGGUAGGUUCUCUUGAGGUGAUAUGUUGCGGAGCUAACUCCCAACAAAUACCUGGGUGGUGGCUCUGGUGGUGGUGCUAGUGAAGGGAUAAUUAUUUGUUCUUCCUCCCUGCUGCCUGCACCUGGAACUUUGAUAAGAAUGAAGUCAGCAUAAAAAUUACAAUUGUCUGGCAUGGACAGUAGUCUCUCUUCAUGGUAAAUGUGUGAUUUACCACCACAAUACCACAAAGAGUAUGAACCAUGUGAGUGUUCUUUGUAUCUUAGUGGAACACAGCCAGGACAAAUCCAAAUGAAAUGCAGCCUGUAGCUUAAAUUUACUAGGCUAGUCUGUAGAGAAGGGAUAAUUUCAUGACCUUAUUCUGGACUUCAGAGGCUAAAUUAUGCAUAUAUGAAAUCCACGACAGGCAAGCUGGCUGUUUUUCCCUGUGCACAAGUGAUGAAGUGCACAUUUUUUUUUUUUUUACCUUGCAGUAUUUAUUUCUUACUGGAAUGGUAAGAAAUAUUAUUUGUUUUUCUAUUAAAAUGUAGGUUUAUUUCUCUCUUAAAAGCUGUGUUUGACUUUGGUUUCUAGGAUAAUGGAAGGUACUUGGCUGUCAGGUUUUCUAAACUGAACAAGCUGGUGUCUUCAUCACUGGUCAGAAGCUGUUACUUCUGCGUGUCUUGAGCAGGGCUGUAGGUGAUGUGUCCUUUCAUCUGCAGAUAAAAUUGAUACUCAAUUGUUGUGCUGCAAGUGUUGACCCAAGAAUGGUCCAGGAAGCAUCUCCAGCUAGUUGUAGAAAAGUUGGCAUAGAAUCUCAGCAGAGUUUUGGUGAGGAAGGACUGUUGGGAGUCUUUAGUCCUGCUGUCUGCUCAGGGCUGUGUCCAGUCAGUUUGGAGCACCCUGAGGGAUGGAGGGACCCCCAGGAUCUGAGGAGAGGGUCUCAGCCUGGCCUGCACAACGUGGCACAGGAUGGAUGGAAUCCCAGGAUCUAAGGAGGGGUCUCAGCCUGCCUGCACAGCCUGGCACGUGGCUGACCUUCAUCACCACAGGCACAGUGCUGCAUCUUCCUGAGGGGAGUUGACCUCAGCUGGGAUGCAGAAGCUCUAAGGUGACAUUUCAAUGGCACGAGCUGUGACAGAAUCCAAGUGAUGCUGGCUGUAACUAGAUUCCUGGGGGGAGAAAAGGGGGAUGGAGAGGCAUAUGGGGCGAUUCCUUGCCGUACGUACAUGUGCACUUGAACAUUUGCACUGAAUAAAGUGCUCAAAAACUUA